CAUGCAAGUCGAACGAGAGAUGAGGAGCUUGCUCUUCAAAUCGAGUGGCGAACGGGUGAGUAACGCGUGAGGAACCUGCCUCAAAGAGGGGAACAACAGUUGGAAACGACUGCUAAUACCGCAUAAGCCCACGGCUCGGCAUCGAGCAGAGGGAAAAGGAGCAAUCCGCUUUGAGAUGGCCUCGCGUCCGAUUAGCUAGUUGGUGAGGUAACGGCCCACCAAGGCGACGAUCGGUAGCCGGACUGAGAGGUUGAACGGCCACAUUGGGACUGAGACACGGCCCAGACUCCUACGGGAGGCAGCAGUGGGGAAUAUUGCACAAUGGGGGAAACCCUGAUGCAGCGACGCCGCGUGGAGGAGGAAGGUCUUCGGAUUGUAAACUCCUGUUGUUGAGGAAGAUAAUGACGGUACUCAACAAGGAAGUGACGGCUAACUACGUGCCAGCAGCCGCGGUAAAACGUAGGUCACAAGCGUUGUCCGGAAUUACUGGGUGUAAAGGGAGCGCAGGCGGGAGAACAAGUUGGAAGUGAAAUCCAUGGGCUCAACCCAUGAACUGCUUUCAAAACUGUUUUUCUUGAGUAGUGCAGAGGUAGGCGGAAUUCCCGGUGUAGCGGUGGAAUGCGUAGAUAUCGGGAGGAACACCAGUGGCGAAGGCGGCCUACUGGGCACCAACUGACGCUGAGGCUCGAAAGUGUGGGUAGCAAACAGGAUUAGAUACCCUGGUAGUCCACACCGUAAACGAUGAUUACUAGGUGUUGGAGGAUUGACCCCUUCAGUGCCGCAGUUAACACAAUAAGUAAUCCACCUGGGGAGUACGACCGCAAGGUUGAAACUCAAAGGAAUUGACGGGGG
rnacentral:rRNA from 1 species